rnacentral:lncRNA from 1 species
AUACCGCCAUAAUGGGACAUGCCUGACCUUCUUAGAACUGUUGUUCUUGAAGACGAGGAUAUUGAGGUAAUCCAUCCCUUUCUCACCAAGAGGUAAUCCAUCCCUUUCUCACCAAUACCUAUUAUGAUCUAUUAUUGCACGGAUCUAAUAGUUGGGUUAUCCUUGAUAUUUUAUCAAUCGUGGAUUUAGUGAACUAUGCUCCGCCCCUUGU